CGUCCCUCCUUCAAUUCCAUAGCCAAUUAACUUAGCUGUAUUGGGGUGGUUCACAUGGGCCAUAAUUCCCAUCUCUGAUAGGAAGUCCCCUAUCAUCUCAUCAAGUGUUCCUCUUGUCAGCCGCUUAAUAGCCAUUAGUUUCCCAUUUUUCAAACACCCUUUGUAAACUUCAGCGUAACCACCCUUUCCAAUCUGAUUUUCUUGGCUGAAAUUGUUUGUUGCAGCUUGGAGCUCAGAGAGAGAGAAGCAUUUUCUCGGAGACUUUAAAUUGUACGAAUCAGAGUUUGAAAAAA
rnacentral:misc_RNA from 1 species